GCCUGCGUAGAUCAGUGGUUAGAUCGCCUUCUAUAAAUGCUAGACUGUAGUCGUUUUAGGAAGGAGGCGGAGGUUCGAUUCCUCCUGUGGGCA